rnacentral:rRNA from 1 species
AUUGAACGCUGGCGGCAUGCCUUACACAUGCAAGUCGAACGGCAGCACGGGAGCAAUCCUGGUGGCGAGUGGCGAACGGGUGAGUAAAGCAUCGGAACGUGCCCAGUCGUGGGGGAUAACGUAGCGAAAGCUACGCUAAUACCGCAUACGAUCUGUGGAUGAAAGCGGGGGACCGUAAGGCCUCGCGCGAUUGGAGCGGCCGAUGUCAGAUUAGGUAGUUGGUGGGGUAAAGGCUCACCAAGCCGACGAUCUGUAGCUGGUCUGAGAGGACGACCAGCCACACUGGGACUGAGACACGGCCCAGACUCCUACGGGAGGCAGCAGUGGGAAUUUUGGACAAUGGGCGCAAGCCUGAUCCAGCAAUGCCGCGUGCAGGAUGAAGGCCUUCGGGUUGUAAACUGCUUUUGUACGGAGCGAAAAGGCUUCCACUAAUACUGGGGGCUCAUGACGGUACCGUAAGAAUAAGCACCGGCUAACUACGUGCCAGCAGCCGCAGUAACAC